GCCUGUGGCCUAUUUAAUUUAGAAUGUGGCAGGGGGAAUGCCCUGCGUUCUAAGUAAUAGUGCUUGGUGAUCUCGUUGUAGGUUAACAUCUGGUCCCUGAACUCAGGAGCGGGAGAUACAGCCCCAUCAGGGAGGGCACGGCACACUAAUCCUCGUGCCUCCCUGUGCGCCACCUCGUUGAGUCACGGUGGGUAUGUG
rnacentral:lncRNA from 1 species